AUUGAACGCUGGCGGCAUGCCUUACACAUGCAAGUCGAGCGGCAGCGCGGGGGCAACCCUGGCGGCGAGCGGCGGACGGGUGAGUAAUACAUCGGAACGUGUCCUUUCGUGGGGGAUAACCAGUCGAAAGACUGGCUAAUACCGCAUGAGAUCUCACGAUGAAAGCGGGGGAUCCGCAAGGACCUCGCGCGAUUGGAGCGGCCGAUGUCGGAUUAGCUAGUGGCGGGGUAAGAGCCCACCAAGGCGACGAUCCGUAGCUGGUUUGAGAGAACGACCAGCCACACUGGGACUGAGACACGGCCCAGACUCCUACGGGAGCAGCAGUGGGAAUUUGGACAAUGGGCGCAAGCCUGAUCCAGCCAUGCCGCGUGUGUGAAGAAGGCC
rnacentral:rRNA from 1 species